GACCUCAGAUCAGGCAA
rnacentral:rRNA from 3 species